GGUUAAGUUAGAAAGGGCGCACGGUGGAUGCCUUGGCACUAGGAGCCGAAGAAGGACGGGACUAACACCGAUAUGCUUUGGGGAGCUGUACGUAAGCGUUGAUCCAGAGAUUUCCGAAUGGGGGAACCCACUAUCUUUAGUCGGAUAGUAUCCUUACGUGAAUACAUAGCGUGAGGAAGGCAGACCCAGGGAACUGAAACAUCUAAGUACCUGGAGGAAGAGAAAGAAAAAUCGAUUUCCUGAGUAGCGGCGAGCGAAACGGAAAGAGCCCAAACCAAGAAGCUUGCUUCUUGGGGUUGUAGGACACUCUAUACGGAGUUACAAAAGAAAGUUAUAAAUGAAGCGGUCUGGAAAGGCCCGCCAAAGACGGUAACAGCCCGGUAGUUGAAAUGGCUUUCCCUCCAGAGUG
rnacentral:rRNA from 1 species